GGAAUGCCUAUGUGAUUUUAGAGGCAUCCUAGAAAGAGCACAGAUCUAGAAGACAAAGGUCUGGUUUUCAUCCUGGCUCUGCUACUGACCUAGUGUUUGACCGAGAAUGAUUCUGUCUGCCUGAGCCAGGAGGGAUGGACUGGACUCGGUUCUGAAGCUCAUCCACAUCUAUGGCUGACAUAGUCAUUAUCGAUUUCCCUACUGGCCAGUCUUGGCGGAUAGACCCUGUACAGUUGACUUCUUCAAACAUAGGCUGGUUGUCAUUCAAGUUCCUGAGCUGAAGAAAAAUGGACACUUCCUUCUCCCGGCGAAAAGGGGAUCCCCAGUCUGAUGCUCUUACCCGGAAGGUAUAAAUUCUUUUCAUGAGUUCAUAGUCCAUGGGUUUGGAGGUGGAGAUGAUCCCCAGGUAGGGGUCAAUAGAAAAUGGCAAAGCUUUUGGUCCAGCAAUGGAAUAGGUGACAUAUCCAUUUUCCCCAUGAUCCCGGUCAGUGGCAGUCACAGCCAAAACACUGGUGCCUGGAGGGAUGUUCUCAUCCAAGGUACCAUCAUAGGAAGACCUGUUGAAGAGGGGGGCAUGGUUGUUGCAGUCCACAAUGUCAAUGACCACCACGGUGGAGGCCUGGCCCGGUGAGGUUCUGAUGUGUAGCUGAUAGUGGGCUCUGUCGUGGAAGUCCAUGAGCUUUGUGGUGGUGAUCAACCCAGUUCGAGCAUUAAGUUUAAAUCCUACAUUCUCUGAAGAUGGCUUUAGAACAUACUGCAGGUUGGGGAAGGCUGGGGUGACUCUCACCAUCACCACGCGGCUGCCAGGAGGGGAAAACUCACUAAGCUGCACUCUGUAAACAGCCUUCUCGAAUUUGAGGGAAGACAGUUUGGAAGGUGGUAGGUGAAAGCCCCUGAUCUGGGAAUAAAAAUAAGGGCCGCUCCCACUCCUGGCCUGGAGGCUGAGGUUGAACCCAUGAAGGUACUCCAUCCAGUUGAUGUCUUUGACAGACACCAAACUGAACUCAUUGCUCCGGGCAUAAGACUUGAUGGCUUUGAAGUGCUUUCCAGGGUCACCACCAACAACUUCCACUGACUCCACUUCAGCUCCUGAGCUAUUUGCAUCGACCAGUACAGUGGCAUAGGUGGUACCAUCAUUGCUGUCUGGUGGAGUCACCACCACCGAAGCAAUGGCUGGGGGCUUCCUGAGGGCAGGCUCCACAUGAACCACAAGUGCAGCCAGGCUGCCAAACCCAUUGCCCUCAGAGAUUUUCCGCAUGCGGUCCACAGCUAGCACCUGGAGCUCAUGCUUUCCUCGCCAGGUGACGUUAAGCUUCCCAGCCACAGUGACCACACCGCUGGUGGGAUGGAUGGCAAACAUCUCUGACCUUGUGUUAAAGGCAUAAUAGAACUCAGCAUUCUGGCCUAGAUCAGCAUCUGUGGCAGUCACCUUGCAGAUGGGGCUCUUCAGGGGCAUGUCCUCAGAGAUGGUGACUCUGUACGAAGGUGGAGAGAAGAGAGGCUUCAGGUCAUUCUGGUCCAGGAUGUGGACCACCACACGGGUCAAAGCUUCCAACUCCAAGGUCUUCUCUGUGGCUUGGAUGAUGAGGGUGUAGCUGUCUCGCACCUCUCUGUUCAGAAGAGCUGUGUUGCUGCUCUUUGUCCUUAUUCUUAGGAAGCAGAAGUUGCCCACCACAUACUCCUCAGUUUUAAAUACAUUGGCCACAUCCCCAGAGAUGAUCCGGUACCUCACUGCCCACUGUGGCUCCGCGAGGUAGAUGCCCAUUUUCUCGAAGCUCUCCACAUAGGUCUUGGGAGAAGAAUUUUCAUAGAUGGUGGCAUUGUAAUGGGAGUGUGUGAAGUGCCAAGCAGAGGAGGAGAGAAUCCCUUCUAGAGGCUUCUCACAGGUCGCACAAUGGAGCAAGAAUAUGGCAAAACCCAGCAGGGCAAUAGUCAUGGUGGAAAACUCCCG
rnacentral:lncRNA from 10 species